UACGGGGGGGGGCAAGCGUUGUUCGGAAUUACUGGGCGUAAAGGGCUCGUAGGCGGCCAACUAAGUCAGACGUGAAAUCCCUCGGCUUAACCGGGGAACUGCGUCUGAUACUGGAUGGCUUGAGAUUGGGGAGAGGGAUGCGGAAUUCCAGGUGUAGCGGUGAAAUGCGUAGAUAUCUGGAGGAACACCGGUGGCGAAGGCGACAUCCUGGACCAACACUGACGCUGAGGAGCGAAAGCCAGGGGAACAAACGGG
rnacentral:rRNA from 1 species